UGUCGCUCGGGGCCCGGCGGUUGGAAAGAACCGCGGCGCUCCAACCAGGGAGCUCUCGACCUAGGACCCUCUGAGAUGGGAGACAUCCCAGCGUGCCUGGUGACAUCUACACGCCCCGACGUGUGUAGCGAGCAGCCGUCACAGCUCUGAGGCCCUGGAGUAGAAGAUGCCUCUGGAAGUACAGGGGUGCCUUUCAAAUACCAUCGAAAUGUUUCCACAACAAUCUAAAAAUACUAGACAUAAAUAAAGUGAGAAAAACCUCCUGA